GCGUGGCGCAGUUGGUUAACGCGUGACGUUUACACCGUCAAGAUCGCUGGUUCGAAUCCGGCCGUG
rnacentral:tRNA from 1 species